rnacentral:rRNA from 1 species
GACGAACGCUGGCGGCGUGCCUAAUACAUGCAAGUCGAACGCAGUGGGGACGGGUGAGUAACACGUGGGUAACCUCCCAUCAGAGGGGAUAACACUUGGAAACAGGUGCUAAACCGAUACUGAUGGAUGGACCCGCUGUGCAUUAGCUAGUUGGUGGGGUAACGGCUCACCAAGGCCACGAUCCAUAGCUGACCUGAGAGGGGGAUCGGCCACACUGGAACGGCGACACGGCCAAGACUCCUACGGUAGGCAGCAGUGGGGAAUCUUCGCCAAUGGACGAAAGUCUGACCGAGAAACGCCGCUGGGGUGAAGAAGGUUUUCGGAUCGUAAAUCUCUGUUGUUAGAGAAGCGGUAUCUAACCAGAAAGCCCCGGCUAACUACGUGCCAGCAGCCGCGGUAAUAC